GACAGAGGGUGCAAACGUUGCUCGGAUUUACUGGGCGUAAAGCGCGUGUAGGCGGGAAGAAAAGUCGGGUGUGAAAUCCCUGGGCUCAACCUAGGAACUGCAUCCGAACUUCUUUCUGAGUGAUGGAGAGGAGAGCGGAAUUCCCGGUGUAGAGGUGAAAUUCGUAGAUAUCGGGAGGAACACCAGUGGCGAAGGCGGCUCUCUGGCCAUCAACUGACGCUGAGACGCGAAAGCGUGGGGAGCAAACAGGG
rnacentral:rRNA from 1 species